AGAACACUGGAGUUGCCCAUUCAUGUGGUGCUUUUGUUCAGCUUAAGAUGGCCCUGAAAAUCAUCAUUCUUGGAGUCGUGUCUUGUAAUUGCAAACUUGAAAGGACAUGGAAGGACUUUUUGAUUGUGGAACUCACAGAUCUGCCUUUAUAAAAUAGGAUUGUUUCUGCUGCAGUUUCUAUCAGCCUGAUCUGAGAAUAGCCAUGAGGGUAAAACAGAGCAUCUCUUAUCCUCCUAUUACUUUGCUGUCUCCUUUGUUGGCUGACCACCUCAACACCUGAAUGCAACAACAUCCUCCUACCUGGUGAGGUCACUACUAGGAAAACCUGCCCCCCACAAUUCUUAGAUCACUUGGCUGAUCUGUCUUCUGCUGUGAAGCGGUGCCAGUGAGGAGAGGUCUCCAAAGACAUUUUGCAUCAGUGAAGUGCAGCGUAUUAAUGCGUUCUCCUCAACCAACCUCGUGCUUUGCUUUUUUUUUUAUUUGAAAAUGCAAACCACAUGUCAUGUUGCAUGCAUGAACUGCUUUCCACUGCCCAGAGCUCCAGGUUUGUUCUUAGUUUGUUCUUGAACUUUUAAUAAUGGUGAAAAUAAAGGGAGGGUCAGUUUGCAUUGUUUAUAGUAGGAAAGAACAGCACAAGAUUUCAUCUACUGCUGUUCAAAUCCCUUGCUAUUUUUGGUAUUUGACCUCUGCGGAGAAGAUUGCCAAAACUACAGGUUGUUUUCAUUUUUAUUACGUGUUUCUACCCUCCUGCUUGUAAGUUACUCUUACGUUACUGAUUAAAUCUUUGAGGCAAAGUUCCAUUUAUCCCAUAUUUUCCACUAUAUUUUUCAGGGGUAAUUUUAUGUUUCUGUAUGUUGUUGAGCUAACAUUCCCUUUUGGAAAUGAGAACUGUGCCAUUUGGCAGCAUCUUGUGUAUACAGCUGAAAGGAGAAAGAAAAUAACUUAUGAAUUGCUGGAUUAAAGAGGACUCGUGAGCCUGUUGUCUGGAGUUGAGACUGCGGUGUUUAGAACAGUGAACAAAGAGCCCAGCAGAAUAUGCUGUGGCUUGUACUUGAAGGUCCAGAGGAGGCCACAACAAUGGUGAGAGAGUUGGAACAGCUCUGCUGGGAGUACAGGCUGAGAGAUUGGGGUUGUUCAGCCUGGGGAAGAGAGGGCUCCAGGGAGACCUUAUUGUGGCCUUUCCGUACUUAAAAGCGGCCGAUAAGAAAGAUGGGGACAGACUUUUUAGCGGGGCCUGUUGUGAUAAGACAGGGGAUGAUGGUUUUAAACUAAAAGAGGGGAGAUUCAGGCUGGACAUGAGGAAGAAAUUGUUGCCCCUGAGGGUGGUGAGAGCCUGGCCCAGGUUGGCCAGAGAGGUGGUGGAUGAACCAUCCCUGGAGACAUCCCAGGCCAGGCUGGACGGGGCUCUGAGCAACCUGAGCUGGUGAAGAUGUCCCUGCUCAUGGCAGGGGUGGCACUGGAUGAGCUUGGAAGGUCCCUUCCAACCCAAACUAUUCUGUGAAUAGUAAAUGUUUAGUUUGUGCUGAUAGGUGCUUACCUUUCAUUUCUCUGCCAUAGGAAAGGUGCUUGGGCACCUCUGGCUGUUUGCUUCUAGUCUUGCUGUAGGGUUAUUUCCACACCCCACUAGGGAGAUACACACCGCAAAGGCAUCUGAAAAUCCUGUUCUGCCUCUUUGACAUCCCUUCCGCUUCGUGCCUUCUGCUCUAAAAACCAAGCUUGUUUUUGUUUUGUUUUGUAAAAGAAGCCCUGUGGGAUGCCCUGCAGGUCAAAAUAUUUUAGGUUAUUUCAGAGGACUGUAUUAAUUCCGAGUUCUCAAGAUGUAAUGAGUUUUGAGUGUCCUUCAAGCAGCUUAUUGUUUCUGGUAGCUGCGAUAUGAAGGAGUUGUGCAGGGCGUUCUUGUAACUGCAAAGUUCAUUUAUGAAGGUAAUUCCAGAGGACUAGAUACCAUAACACAGAAGUUCCAGGCUUAGUUUGUAGAGGUGGCUUUACCUUGUUUCGAGGUGCAGAUGUGAAUGCAGAUGAGAGAUGCAGCUGCAACAUACAGCUGGUCACUGAGGAUGGGCUGCUGUGAGCUGGGGUGAGUGAAGAACCUGGAUUUAAUUAACUACCUCAUGUUCUGAGCAAAGGAGGUGCCUUGGGGAAAGAUUUUUUUGGCCAGUGCUCUCUCUGCCAUUUCUUCUGAGAAUGAAACAGUUCAAGAGCAAAUUGUCUGUCCCCUUCAAAGUCUUUGUGUCAGAUGGAUUGUCACAUCAGCAGGAGCAGUUUUCCUCACUGGUCAUCGCAACCGGCUGUUGUGCCAUAUCCAAACUGUCGGGUUUCAAAGAUACUGUCUUUGCCAAAGGAUUCUGGGUGACCAUAACAAAGCAGAUACCUGUCUUGUUGAAGUUAAGCUAAAAGUGCUUCAGUUCUGCGGUGCAGCGCUCCAUGUGCUUUGUAGGUGGCUGCAGUCCAAUGCUUAGUUAUCUUCCAUUGUGUUUGGAAGACCAUUGUUUCCUAUUUGUCUCAUAAAUUUAACACAGAUCCUAUUCCUGCCAUUUAAACUUUCCCAUCAAAAUACAACAGUGACUUCCCCUUCUGAAAAGGAAGGGCUGGCAGCUACACCCUGAAGUUUGAACAUGAAUUGUUUAUAUAACCUUCAAUCGCAAUUUCAUAAUAGUCUGAAGACUUUCUUACUAGGGCAGACGUUUUACUGAGGUUUUAGCCAAAAACUGGCUGCAGUCAGAUGCAGUGCUAAGGCUUCUUAGUUGUUGCAGUGGAAAUGGAAUUGAAAUCUGUACCCUCCAGCUUCCUGAUCAUAGAAAUUGCACAUCUAUCUGGAAACACGACCAGCAUUUUUUUGGUAUUUCAGAAUAGCUGUUGAAAAAAGGUCGUAGGUAGGCGCUGGGUAGAGACUCGAACUCUUGUGGGUUACUCUGAGCAGUAUUUAUUGUAGAAGAUUCACAGGAACAGCAGCGUUGGGUCACCUCCUCAGAGAGUGACAAUCAUACAGCAGUGUAACUAGUCAUUAUAUAGGGUUCUAACAAGUAUUAUGCAACUAAACAAAAUUUAUCACUGUCUAUCACUGUCGAUAUCUAUCACUGUCGACAUCCUCAGGUUCCUUCCGUUCCAGUGGUCUGUGGGUUCUACUUCUUCUUUCUUGGCAAGUACAGAACGACAGGUCAUCGGGUCGCAGGGCUGGCUUCUUUUGAAGUUCCACCUGUCUCAUUUGUUAUCCACAGUUCAUCAGUCUAGCAUAGAAAUCAGCAACCCUAAGAAUAGCAUUUAUCAAUGUCUUAACUAAGGGUACAAAGCAAGCAUAAGGUAACCACGCUCGUGGUUCUGGGUAAGGACUAUACAGGGGACAAGCUGAGACUUGCAGCCUUAGCAGCACAGCUUAUAACACUGAUAUAGGCCUAAAAUCCUAAUUCCUUAUUUUCCUACAACAGCUGUACCUGUGUCAUCCAGGGGUGAAAGCUCAAGAGCUAAUUUUAUUUCCCAGAAAAUAUUAUUAAAUGUGAAUGAACAUGCUUUUGCAGACUCUGGCUUUUUACAACUUCUGGGUACUUGUAGAGCCUCCUCGCUCUCCCCUCCCCAGCAGUAAAAGCUCUGACAUGAGUGUUGUAGAAACCGCUCAUUGAAUAAUAUUCUCUAUCAAAGUCAGUAAUAUUUAAACAACUGCAGCUCGCUUCCCAAAUGGAUGACAUUUGUCAGGAACAUGUCUGCUUGAGUUUACUUGGCCUUUUGAGUAUAAAAAGUCUGAAUAUUUAGAGCCUGAAAUUCAGGUCAGUCUGGAAAACUACAUUUUUCUUACAAAAAGUUUACAGAGAACCCAGGUUUUUUUAGUAACGUAGCACUACAGGAUAGCUGGUUUAUGAAAACCUUCUCCACCUGUAAGCAUGUGGUUUUGAAAUGGUGGUAAUCCAGUACAUGGGGUUAAGUAGAAGUUAUUAAUAAUAGUUUUUUUUCUUUAAAUUAAUAAUUUGCAUGGGUGUUGAAUAGUUUUGUGUUGGAGCAGAGUAGCAAACAGUGUUUGAGAACAGUCCGCUUUAUGUAAUAAUUCUUGUAAAAGCUGGUUCCCUUUGAGGAUAUACCCAGAAAAUAAGUCAGGAGCAGCUCUGUGGGUCGGGUUGUACACAGGCUAAUGCCAGAAAACAUGUUGAACUUCUUCUCUUCGGAGGGGAAUGGAGUUUCCACAGGAUGUCUGCGUUUUAUGGCAAAAAUUACUUGUAGAUGUGCUCUGAAACGUUGCUUUGAUGUAGAAGAUUAACCUGGGGCCCUCACUGUCAGGAUAUUACUGAGGCAAAUAGCUUAGUGACAUUAUUUGCGACUUGGGAAUUAAGCAUUUUGAGUGGCCUACUGAAGUUUUGUUUUAAUAAUUUGCUCGUUUGUCACAUGGCAUCGCGAAUAUUUGUCUGUACCAAAUAGGAGGAGGGAAAACAAAACCCUGAAACUACAAACACCACCAAGAAGAAAGAAAAAGAAGCCAAAUGCAGUUUUGUUGUAGCGGCUUUUCAUUUAUUGCUGGUCUCUCAUGGACCGUUAAAAUAAUUACCCUAAAACAAGUAAUACUUGGAAACUUGCUCAUUCCAUCCCUAAAAAUCCAACCUCAAGAAUUACCAGAAAAAAAUAUGAUGGGAUAGCUAGACAGGCAUGAGAAUAUUUUCUUGCAUUCUGGAGCUGCCUGAUUUUUACUCCAUUUUUGUGUGGAUUUUUUUCAAAAUGGUCCUUCCGUGCAUGUGAUAAUGUCGAGGGUUUAGAUUGCUGGGUGACAAUAAACCCCUGGCAGAUGUAUUGUUAACCCCCUCUCCUCCCCUCGCUUCCCCCUUUUUCCCCUCCCUCUUCCCCCUUCCCACUCAGCACAGGUGAUCGGGAGGAAAAGAAGGACAGAGAGAAGAGAGUUGGAAAAAAUUAAAGAUGUUUUACUGAUACUACUAAUAAGAAUAGAGAAAAUAAUACAAAAUAUACAAAACCAAUCUUGAAAGUCCCAGCAACUGCAGAGCUGGCAACCAAAGUCCUGGACUGGACUCUGCAGCCAACUGGAGCUGGAUUCAGUCUGUCACUGGCCUCAGUUUGCAGGGAUGACUAGCAAGGUCCUCUCCUCAUGUCGGCCAUAAGCAGAAGGGAAAGAAGAGGAAAAACGGGAAAGGGACGAGAUCCUCGUGAUCUCCCACUUUUAUAUGAAGUAUCAGGUGAAUGGAAUGUUAUACAUAGUUGGUCAGUUUCUUGGUCACCUGUUUCUCGUUGCCCCUCUCGCGAGAUGUCCAUCUGUCCUUAUCAGUAACUUCGCAUUCCAUUGCUGUGUUUACCGAAACAUAUAUCUGGUUCUCAAGGAAAAUGCAGCUCAUAUGAAGGCAAAUUCACUAAAAGAGAAACUUGUUUUUAAAACAAAACCAGGACAGAUAACUAGGAUUGGGUGCUGGCCUAGUCCUUAAGGAAAUAAGGAGAUUUUUGAGUAUUGUUUUACCCUUGUUUGCAUUACCUGAAAUACCUGUACCAUUGAGAAGUCACUGGAGUGUUGACUCCCUAAAACCCUCAAUGCUUGUUUGUUUUUAUUUUGUUUGGGGGGCUGUGUUUGUUUGUUUGGGUUUCGUUUUGUUUUAAACCCAGAAGAGUAGUCUAAUUGAACCUGUAAUUUAAACAGAAGUCAUUCAUGUGGAUGGUUAUUAUGUUUACUUAACGUACCCCACCUACAUCUUUCUUUUAAAAACGGUUGUAGUUUGUGAACUCUCUAAAAUGAUGUAUUGCUUAUGAUGGCAAAUAUCUCACUGAAAUGCUUCAGUACUUUGUCUGACUCUAAACUGAUGAAAGGCUUUCCUGCAAUUACACAAUAGGAUUUUCCUUUGUGUUAUAGAAAGAUGAACUGUCUCCUCUUCAUUUUUUUUCUGGACAUGCUGUUUUUUAGAAGACAAUCGAUGUAUGAGAGGACUGAGAGACUAUUUUUUAGUGUUGUUUUUGCUUGGUAAAAUCUGAACUUGUGUACAUCACUGCAACCGUACGAGUUUCUAGGAGGGUUCAGCAGGGCCAGAGAAGAAUUGCUUCUGAAGGGAAGAUUUUUAUCGGUUGCACUAAGAGCCAGCGUUAUGUGGUUUUAUAGGAGACUCGAAAACCAUUUAGGUUCUUAGGAGAAUUGAUGAAAAGGCAAAGGCGCUUAAUUCCAGUGAAUUCCACUGAUGUCAUGUAGCCUCUUUCGGUGGUCCAUGGUGUGCUGACAGGUGUUGAUCUGCGUCAUUGGGCACCUAAAUACUUGUAGCAUUUACCUCAUCUGGCCAUUUCAGGCUGUAGUUCUCCAUAAUUUUGGUCUUGUUCUCUGCCUGCCCUUUGCGCACUCCCCAGCAGAAAAGUUCAGCUGACAAAUCUCCUGCAGUUGUACUGAUGGAACUAUUUGUGGGCUGUGCCUGCUGGCAACCUUUUAAAACAAGAAGUACUCCUCUCCAGGUAGUGGUGAUGACUUCAUUUUCUUUCCACUCGUGGUGAACAUCACUUUACUUUACAAAAAUAAUAAAGCAAAUUUAGCUACGUGACUUUCACAGGAUUCACAAACAGACUAAUCUUUCAAGGGGAUUGUAUCAUGUAGCAUUUAGAGUCACACAAGACUGAACUCCUUAACUCAGGGAGACCUUUCCAGUUCUCUGUUGCUGUAAAUGAAGUUGUAGUGAGUAGGACAUCAGGAUAAUUGAAUUUUGACUGUGUGUCAUCUCCCAUGCAAGAUGUUUUUCACACAAGUUCUUAAAUCUAAUAUUAUUUCAGAAUGCUGUAAUUAAAACUCACCUUGGAUUUUAUUUC